CAUUUUUCAAAGGUCUAUGUGCUAUGGCAAAUAGUUUGGAUUUUAUCAUAGUCAAUGGGAUCAGUGAAGAAUUUUUAAGAGUGAAGAAACUCAAGUUGAUUUACAUUUUACCAAGAUAGUGUGAUCUUUACAGCUGUAUUUUGUUUACCUUUGACCUCCAGUUGGUGCUUAAGUGGGAGAUGAAUUAUGACUAUGAUAGCAGCGGGAAAUAAGAAUUUGAGACCAAUUUUAAUAAUUCAAAUCAAUGGGAAGUUGACUGUAUUUGGGAGGAUGAAUGAGAAAGAGGACUCUACUGAAAAUAUAGGAAUUGAACAAAUCGGGUGAUUCCAGCAGUCUCAGCAGCACUGAUGCUGGAUUGUUUACCAAUGAUGAGGGAAGACAAGGAAGUUCUUAUUCAGUGACUAUUUGGUUUCCCUAUUGAAGAAUAAAGUUGUGUAUCACAUCAAAAAUAAUAAUUUUAUCUUUCUAUAAUAAUGUUGGAAUUCAGAUAUAUGGUAAUCAGUUUCAAGUGAUGAUGAACAGAGUGACUGGUUCUACAAAAAGGAAUCAGGUGGAGCAUGUGGUAUCACUGGAGUUGUGCCCUGGUGGGAAAAGGAAGAUCCUACUGAACUAGACAAAAAUUUACCAGAUCCUGUCUUUGAAAGUAUCUUAACUGGUUCUUUUCCCCUUAUAUCGCAUUCAAGCAGAAGAGGUUUCCAAGCUAGACUCAGUUGCCUUCAUGGAAUGUCUUCAAAGAAUAUUAAAAAAUCUGGAGGGACUCCAACUUCAAUGGCUACAAACUGGACCAGUGAGAUUCCCCUAUAAACCAAAUCUUCUAAUGCUAAUAAAUUAGUGACGUUUUGAACAUCUGGUGAAUGACAUUCGAGGGAACCUGGCUCCUGUCCUCUUCCCUGGAGGAAUAAUCACUGAAGUGAGAGCCUCUUUGAUGAAAAGACGGGGCUGUUUUUGCUGGAGGACUGGUAUUCUUCCUUUUAGUCAGAAGUGAACCUGACUGGGGAGGCUUUCUAGGCAUUUAGGUUGGCCCAGGGUGGAUAGAAACUACUGUACGUUUUAUAUAUUUUUCUCUUUUAUGAUUUUUUUUUACAUUGAAUCUAUUUAUGUAUACUUGCUUUGCCAAAAUGCUCACAAAGCUAGAAAUUUAAAACUUCCCAAUCUAACAGGUAUUCCUUAAUGUUUAUAUUGUGACUGAUUAAGAAUUAAUUUUUCAUAUCUGACUGUUGUAAAUAAAAAUCAUGAUGCAUUGACAUUUAUGGUUCAUUUUUUGAGAAGUCUUAUAUAACCAGCGUUAUUUCAAAUAUUUGCAUUUUACUCAGGGUAUUUUAACAAGGGCUAUGAUGAGUAGUAGGUAAGGUUGAUAAUCUUUGCUGGAGUUUGUAUUCUGUUUAGCUUACUUUCUACUUGGGUAAUCUGCUCUGUAUUGCAAACUCAUUGUAUUUUAUAGUGUAGUUUUCAUUGUGCUGCAAAAAUCAUCCUCUUUCUAAAUUAGCCACAGUGAUAACUAGUCUGCACUAGUAGAAUCAUUUACCUUUUAAACUAUCUACUUCGUCUGAUACCUGAAACACAUCAAAAUUAUUAUUUUAGUUUAGAGCUUAAUGAAACAUGUGAAAGCUGGUAUUUUUUACAAAUACUGUGUGAUUCUGAAUCACAUCAUCAUGUUUAAAAGGGAGAGCUACUUGUACAUCUUUAGAAUGGCAGACUAUAUGUGUCACUGUGAGUGUCAGAAAUACUUACAUGAGCUCAUUUUCACCAAGUGGGGGGGAAAUGUAAUGUUUCUAUUGAUGGUGUAAUUUAGACACUAUAAUAAGUUCAGACCAUUUGAGUUCUUCAAAAUGGUUAUAUUAAAAUGAUAUUUUUAUUAAGCUUCAAUAAUGAAAAACAAUGUGAUUUAAUAUGUGUAUUUUAUAUUAUUGUAUGGAUUAAUUAAUUCAGCAUUUAACUUAAAUAUGAUUAGAAAAGAAACUCUAAGUUGCCAUUGCCUUUACCUAAAGUUUUUAAAAUCUGGACUAUUUCAGCAAAUGCAUGAAGCAGAAAUGUGUGACAUCUCCUGUUAGACUGCUUGUCUAAUAUGGAGAGAUUAAAAAUGAUAAAAUGCAACUUUGAGUCUCUUUACCUUUGCAUAUUUAAAGGUACAAUAGUGUGGUGUUGGUAAUUGUAAGUAAGCUUUUCUGUGCUAUGUCUUUGGAGUGAAAAUUCAUGGUUUUUUCUGAAUUACAUAAAUGCUUUUGUUUUCUUUUGUAUGAUUGUCUUUUAGAUCUGAAUAAGUCACUUUACAACCUUAGCCUGUGAACUUUGCCUUAUCAAUCAUGAAUCUCGAUGAAUGCUGUCUAGUUCUUGGUUCAGUUUUACCUAUUUUUAUUUUUGGUUCACUGCUUGCUUGAGCAUAGCUGGGAUUUGUAGCCCAUUUUCUAGGCUUAUUGCAAUCUCACUGUGGUAUUUUAUAGAAGCUAUUACAACUGAUAGGCUAGCUUCAUGGUAUUGAUGAUACAUGGCUAAACCAUACUAAAAGCUGCCUUCCCUCUCUAAAUUGUGAAAAGGUGAUUAAGUUUCUACUUGAUGGAGAUAUACUAUAUAUGUGUGUUUAUCAUGGAACUAGUGCAUUAGUCCAUAAACUGUUUUUCUGGUCUACACGUUUUUUGUGUUUAAAAUUUCACUGAAGACAAUAGACUCCUUCGGGUUCUUUCUUUCAACCCUGAAUUGUCCUUGUUUGGAUUUUUAAGUACUGUAAUUUUUUUUUUUUUUUUUUCAAUAAAAUCUCUGACUUGGGCAAGAAAGGUAAGAGUUCCAAUUUGUGCUGAUAUUUCUCUGAUUAUCUUUGCUAAGUUUUGUUGUUGCUUAUGUUAUUUAUAUUACAUAUAACUGUAAUAUCUAGUUUUAAAAAUCAUAAUCUCACAAAACAGUCAUCUUUACACAGUACUCAUGACAUCUGGUAGUAAGAAGUGAAAUUUAAUUGCCUUAGACUUUCACACUGGAAAGCCAGAUUGCUUUUAAGAGAGAUUAAUUUUCUGAGCAAAGUCAAACACAUGGAGUUGCAACCCAUUAAACAGAAUGCCAACAAAAUAUUUCUUAAGCAAAUGAGUGAUGACUGCACAACUAUAAUGAUGUAAUAUCUUUGAAGGAAAUGACAGAAGGAGAAUCUUUUACUGAAAUAUCAAUCUAAACAUUUUUUGGGGGGAAAAUUUUCCAUUGUAUUACAGUUGAUUCUCACUCUUUGCCAUUUUGCUGUUAACACUGAAUUCAAGAAUACUGAAUCAUGGCUCCUAAGGGAAAGACAGGGUUAGGUUCCUGUGAGCCUUUGGUCAUAAGAUUUUCACCAGCUGAUCAGUAGAUAACCUUGUCUUGUGUAUGUUUGUGUUUAAAGACAUUUAGUAUAUAUUGUUGACAUGUUAACAUUGAACUCAUGGCCGAUAGCACUGUAACUUAUUUCUGAACAAAGAUUAUCUAUUAAGUGUUUUCUCUAUAAGGCACAUCUCAGUCUUCUUGCACUUAGAAGCAGUAGACAGCACUUCUCAGCACUCUUCUUGGGGCUACUUAAAACAGAAUAAUCACUCACAAAAAUCACAGAAAUACAAACACAAUCUGGUACUCAUUUAGAUCACAAAAAUGACACGUGUUUACAGUAUGAUAGCUUACACAAUUAGGAAGAAAGUCACCUCGUUAACCUCAGUUCGGAAUGCACAUGUGUAUCAGGUAACUCACGUCACAUUUUUCACUGCUCUGCACAUGUCACUGAAUGACUACAAAAGUCAGAAAUGAUGAGUAUUAAUUUUGGGGUUACAAAUAAAUUUUAGCAGGUAGGCAUAUUUGCAAAUAUGGAAUCCACAAUGGGAAGGAGAUUGACUCUAUUUAGUUUUAUAGAGAGCAAAGUGGUAUUGUAGAAAAUUGAUAGAUUUUGAAGUCAGAUCUUUGUGAAUCCACACUCUGGUUCUUCUUUUUAGUUGUAGUUACAUUUUGAACCUCCUUCCUUCCUUUUUUUAAACACUGACAAUGCUUACUUUUGCAUAAGUGUCAUCAGGUUUUUAAAAUGAGAUUAUGUAUACAUAAUAUGGGCCCAGCACUAUCUCUGGUGCAUAAUAUAUAUUAAAUAAAUGAUAGUUACAAUUGUUAGAUAUAUUAAACACUAUAGCUGGGACUUAGAGAACAUUUGUAUCAUGAGUCAAAGUGUAGAAUUUUGGACCUUAAACUUUUCUGGUUUUUCUUUUUUCUUUUUUUUUGAGACAGGUCUCACUCUGUCACCCAGGCUGGAGUGCAGUGGCACAAUCAAGGCUCACUGCAGCCUCGACCUCCCAAGCUCAAGUGAUGCUCCUACUUCGGCCUCCCUAGUAGCAGGGUCUACAGCCAUUUGCAAACAUGUCUGGCUAAUUUUUAUAUUUUUAGUAGAGAUGGGUUUUGCCAUGUUGUUGAAGCUGGUCUCAAACUCCUGGGCUCAAGCGAUCCUCCCUCCUCAGCCUCCCUAAGUGUUGGGAUUACAGGUGUGAGCAACCACAACUGGCCUGUUCAUAUUUUAUACAUAAUUUGCCUUUACAUUUAAUAUUUAAAGUACUUUAUAUGGCAUUCUUUUGUGUUUCUUUUAUACCUUAUUUAUAUUUGAGCUGGCCUCUGUCUUUAAUAUGAUCUGUGACUCAUAGUUGCAAAUAAAUUUUAGAUCGACAGCCACUCCACUAAAUCUUAAAACUUAACUGCAAACUGGGAAACUUCUCUAAACUCUUAUCCUGAUCACAGACCGCAUAGACCUUCUCCCACCAUCAUUUAAACUAUUUAUUUCUACAAUGAAUAGCUACAAAUGAAUAACUUAAAUGAUGCGGGGAGAAGGUCUAAUAGGUAUUCCUGAACCUAUACUGUUCAGGAGAUUAGGGUCCUGAUCUACUUGAUCUACCUGAUUUUUAAAAUUAAUUAUGCUCAUAUGCAUGCAAACAGAGUCCUGAGAUUUUUAUGCUGAGAGGAAUUACUAUCCUAGUAAAGUACCAAUUUGUUAAAACUCAGCUAACUAGCAUCUCUUAUUCCCUACUUUUAGGAGAAUGAAGCAAAUGAUAAUUAAUUUCAAGGGAUAUUCAGCCCAAAUCUCUUCUAUUUCCAUAUUUUGUUCAUUAAGCUUAAUUCAGAAUAAUAUUUCUCAGAAUAAUGAUGGCAGAAUCUGUUUUGGUAUAUAGUACCUAUAAAGCGCAUCCAAGUAACCUUACGUAAGCAUCACAUUCCAGUUAGCUAAGAUAUAUCCUAUUCCUGUGUAUCCUAAAAAGUCAGUGUUUUUUGUAGGUCAGAGCUUUUUAAAAUUCUUUUUUGAUUUGAAUUAAUGGUCUUUCAACAGGUGUUACAUUGGUCUACUAAAAAUUAGCAUUCAAAUUGUGCAGUCUUCUCAAAGAUCAGGAAAUAAAUGACUCAGCUUAAAAUACAUUGUUGGAUGACAACAUGAUAUUACAUGGAAAUUUUAUGUAAGAGUUAUAGGAAUUUAUUUAAAAGUGUUAGAAUUACCUCAGUCUACUUUUCUGUAUGGUUGCAAUAAGAAUACAUUGGUGCUGGUAUUGACGGUUACUCUGCCAAAGAAAAUGAAUCUGACUUAAUUGACUUCUUAUUUAUGUAUGUUUAUCAAGCUCAAAAAUAUGAAACAAAUGUUGACAUUAGCUCAUGCUGUACAAAUAGGCAUUCUGUUUACAUUCACUGUACAAAAACCCUGAACACAUGAUUUGCAUUUUUUCAGAAUCUUGAGUCACUUCAUUCUAUAGGAGAAAAAGAAUAUUGUGUGUAUUUUUUUCUGUGAAGUCAUAGAAAAUCAGGAUUAUAUGAGUGGCAUUUUGUUAAUGAUAAUCAUACCAUAAUGAUUUACUCUGUAUGUCUUGCUCAACUUUUAUUGUUUCUUAGGAAACUAGAGUAGGAAUAUCUAGUCUUCUUUAUAGCCUUUUACAACAGUAGGACCAUUUAAUUUUGUUUUUUCUUUUUUUUGAGACAGAAUCUUGCUCAGUUCCCCAGGCUGGAGUGUAGUGGCACAAUCUUGGCUCACUGCAACCUCUGCCUCCCGAGGUCAAGUGAUUCUUUUGCCACAGCCUCCCCAGUAGCUGGGACUACAGGCACCCACUACCACACCCAACUAAUUUUUGUAUUUUUAGUAGAGAUGGGAUUUCACCAUGUUGGCCAGGGUGAUCUCAAACUCCUGACCUCAGAUGAUCUACUGGCCCCAGCCUCCUAAAAUGCUGAGAUUACAGGUUUGAGCCACCACACUCAGCCAGAAGGGCCAUUUAAAAUGAAGUUGAUUUACAUAAGGGAACUUCAUAGUCUAAGAGAAAGGAAAACUUUUAUCAUGGAAAGCAACUCUAAAAUGAUUUUUAAAAAUGCACACAGCCUAUGUCCUCAACUGUAAUUUGACCGUGACUAAUUAACAAUUUUUAAGUGGAAUUUACUAGCAAAAUGCUUUAUUUUAAGCCCUAUGCACUGAUAUAUGUUUAUAUCCUUAAGGAAUUUGGGGGUACUUUGGAGAAUACAAGAAGAAUGUGUUUUUGAACUGUUAUUAUAUUUUAAAUAUAUAUCAUGUAUAAUCUAGGAUUACAGGUGUCAGCCACCAUGCCCAGCCAGAAACUGACACUUUUUAAAAUAACUUAUUUUGAGAUAAAUUGAUUCUGUAUCUUAGAAAAGUACAACUUAAUAGAAUUAUAAUAAAUAUUUCUUUUAUAAAAUA